AUUGAAUGGCAUCCUUCUUUUUUUUAACGAGAUCCCUGCGUCUCCCGUAACGGAAGCCCAAUAAUACCUGAUUGUCUUUUCUUAUUUGACACCCCACGCUUUCUGAGUAGCUGUGUGGAAAUUACAUGAUUAUUCUUCUUCAAAUUGGUUUAAUAGAACAAGCCGCACUGGGAAUGAAUCGAAUUUUGGAAAACCCUUUAAACCCACAUUUUUUUUUUCUGGAGGGCGCUGUUUACGCUGAACACUAGUUUUUCCCCUUGAUAUUUUCCCCCACUAGAAUGUAUUUAUGUGAUUAUUCAAGGCAAAGGAGUUGUUGAAUAUGGCUAUUCAUGUGGCGCAUCCAUCAGUGCGAAUGAAAGGCGCUGAGGCAGACUGGACGCCCAUACAAUGCACAGACAGGGAGUGUAGCCACUCCUUGAUGAAGGCUCCGCAUCUGCACUGUCCAUUCUGCUCCCAGGACAGUCUCUUCACUGAUGAGAUUCUCCUCAAGGCGCACUACAGGGUUAAGCACGUGAAUAAAGGCAUCAACUUUGGGGGUCUUAAAAUGUUGCGGUGUUGUAGAUCCUGCAUCGUCCACGACAUCAUUCACGGCCUACGUCCCCUGCUGGGAUGGCGAGUGUGAAGAUCUACUUUGCGCCCAUGAAGAAGCAACGACCAACGAAGACAGGGAUAAAGCAGCCAAUGAUCUUUUGGGUAGGCUCUGUGAGAAAUGAAGGCAGAGAUGGACAGAGACUGUGGAAUCGAUGGAUUUGACCCAUUCCAGCUGUCGGGCAUGGCAAACCAUCAACAAGCUCACGGGAUGUCAACCAGAUCUUCACCACAUACACCGACCCAGCACCCAACAGUGCCAGCCUGGUAACACACCUCAUAGUCCCCCAGUCACAGCAGCCAUCGGAGACGAACACAUCAUCCCCGAGCUAUGAGCAGACUGACGGGCAGCAGCCGCAGAUCGAGUACCAGUACGCCUGCAUCAAUGAUCCGAGCCAGAGCACUGCCAAUG